UCCCUGGAGGACUAGUGGUUAGGGCUUGGUGCUCUCAACACUGUAGUAUAGGUUUGAUUCCCAGCCAGGGAA
rnacentral:tRNA from 1 species